rnacentral:misc_RNA from 1 species
AAAAAAAAAAAAAAAUACAAAAACUAUUCUCCUCAACAACAAUAUUAAGGAGUCCUAUUCUAUCCUAUAAAACAGAUGAGAGAUUAAAAUGUAGCAAAAUUUAUGAAGCAAAAGCAAACAAAUACGAACUUCCCAGAAAAACCAUGACUUCAUUCUCAAAUUUGCAAUCAAACUUUAAAAAGUUCAUACCACCAUAUGCACAAUUCUUAUUUUCCAAAAAAAAAAAAGAUGGAUAGGUUCACAAUUCUAAGGGAAAAUUUAUACUUCAAUCAGUUCGGAAGUAUUUUGUGAGAGAGAAAAAAAAAAAAAAAAAG